AUUCACUGGGCGUAAAGCGGGUGUAGGCGGCUCGGUAAGUCGGGUGUGAAAUCCCACGGCUCAACCGUGGAAUUGCGCCCGAAACUGCUGAGCUUGGGGCCGGUAGAGGGAGACGGAACUGCCGGUGUAGGGGUGAAAUCCGUAGAUAUCGGCAGGAACGCCGGUGGGGAAGCCGGUCUCCUGGGCCGCGCCCGACGCUGAGGCCCGAAAGCUAGGGGAGCAAACCGGAUUAGAUACCCGGGUAGUCCUAGCCGUAAACGAUGCCCACUAGGUGUGGGGGAUUAAUUCCUCCGUGCUGUAGCUAACACGUUAAGUGGGCCGCCUGGGGAGUACGCCCGCAAGGGUGAAACUCAAAGGAAUUGGCGGGACCCCGCACAAGCGGUGGAGCGCGUGGUUUAAUUGGAUGCUGAGCCAAGAACCUUACCAGGGCUUGACAUGCAGGUGGACCGACCCGAAAGGGGAGGGCCCCUUUUGGGGAGCCUGCACAGGUGGUGCACGGCCGUCGUCAGCUCGUGCCGUGAGGUGUUGGGUUAAGUCCCGCAACGAGCGCAACCCCUGCCCUUAGUUGCCAACGGUUCGCCGGGCACUCUAAGGGGACUGCCGGCGACGAGCCGGAGGAAGGAGGGGACGACGUCAGGUACUCGUGCCCUUUAUGUCCUGGGCUACACACGCGCUACAAUGGGUGGUACAAUGGGUUGCGACCCCGCGAGGGGGGGCCAAUCCCUAAAACCACCCCCAGUUCGGAUCGCAGGCUGCAACCCGCCUGCGUGAAGCCGGAAUCGCUAGUAAUCGCGGAUCAGCCACGCC
rnacentral:rRNA from 1 species